rnacentral:tRNA from 1 species
UAGAAAAUGGUGUAAUGGAAGCACGAAGGAUUUUGAUUUCUUUUAUACGGGUUCGAAUCCUGUUUUUCUAA